rnacentral:other from 1 species
AAGAGGCUGCGGAGUACGUGAUACAACCUAAUCCCUCGGGCCGAUGCUUUCGCAUUUAGGGAGCUGUCACUGGAUACGCUUAGUGUUUUGCCGCUUCGCGUUUUUAUACGGCACCCACCUGGUCAAUGGGGCCAGAAGCGGAUAGAUAUAGUACACGGCUCUCGCGGCUUUUUC